UACGUAGGGUGCAAGCGUUGUCCGGAAUCAUUGGGCGUAAAGCGCGCGUAGGCGGCCCGAUAAGUCCGCUGUAAAAGUCAACGGCUCAACUGUUGAAAGCCGGUGGAUACUGUCGGGCUAGAGUACGGAAGAGGCAAGUGGAAUUCCUGGUGUAGCGGUGGAAUGCGCAGAUAUCAGGAGGAACACCUAUAGCGAAGGCAGCUUGCUGGGACGUUACUGACGCUAAGGCGCGAAAAGCGUGGGGAGCGAACGAGG
rnacentral:rRNA from 1 species